UUUCGUCCUUGAUUUAUGUUGGGCAGUUUAUGCCAUUUUCUCCAUUCUUUUUUGUCCACACGUGUUGUGAUUCUCAAUCCACCGCUUCAAAUGUCCAAUGGUUUUUCUCCGGUGUUCGUGAUUCCUCCAUCAUCACCGCCUCUCAGGUAACCUUCCGUUCUCUCUCUUCGUCUCCUUCAAUUCUCGAUUUUCCAUUUCGGCUACUCGGACGAAUGGAUUAGGGUGAGUGGAUGUCGUUUUUCCUCUCUUGCAUCUUCUACACUUUUUCUUCUUCCCACGACUUCUUUUUUAUUAAAUUAAAUGAGUUGGGUUUCUUCCACAUAGUAGGAUCGCCAUGAACGAUCGACCAUUACCACGAGUUGUGGUCGAGUGUGCCACAAGCUGGAUUUUCAAGAUCCCGCUGAAGCCCUAGCCGGUAACAUUUGCCACCUGAAGGGUUGAUUCAUCGAAUGUUGUGGCUUCUUCCCUAUUUUUCUUCAGUUUUAAUUAUCAUUAUUAUUUUAAUCAACAAUUGAAACACUAAUUUCGUAUUCAAUUUUCAGAUUUUUAUAUAUCUGAACCAUGACAUUUUUUAUUGUUAAGGUACUUAGGGCAAUCAUGGAGAGACUACAUGUAUACAUGUGUAUGCAUGUGUGUAUCUAUGUUGAUGUUAGUUUAUUACUAAAAUGUAUAACAUUGGAUUUUGAUUUAUGUUUGGAUUAGGCUUGUCAUACAAAAGUAGAAUAUGAAGAAUAUGGGGCAACCAUAUGCAGAAUAUAUCUUGUUUUCAAGGGAUAUGUAGGUGUUCAGGUGCUUCUUUUUUAAAAGUAUAGAUUUUUAUGUAGGUACUUAUACUUGAGUAAAUUAUUAAGAGUGAGUAGAGCUUCAGAUGCUUUUCUGCACCUCAUAAUCAAUCAGGUGUCCAUUUUGGUAUUGCAAAAGUAUGAAUAUCUUGUAUUGGCGUGGGCCAUUAGUGAAGUAUUAUCAUCAUUAGCAGGAGAAGACAAGUCAAACAUGCCUUCAUUGAUCCUUCCUUUCAUUCUAGACACAUCAAAGACUAAGCUGGAAAGAAAAUACUCAGCAGAUGAAUGUGUUUAUGGCAUCCAAAUCGGCCCACCACCAACUGACCUAUGAAGCCUCUUUUAGUAUGUGAAAAAUGUCUUUUGCAAAACUGGUAAAACGAAAGAUGGAAUUCAAAUCCCUUUGAUUUCGUGUGAUUGAAAACUUUGAAACGGUAGCUUUCCAGUCAAUAUUCGACACCUGGCCUCAAUCAGCCGAGGUGGCAGUCUCUGGGUAAAGGGAAGAUGGCAGGUUUGUGUUCACCAUUUAAAAGAUAUUGGAAAAAAUACAUUCAGUUAUAGCAUUGUACUUUCAGAGUUCCUUUUUGUAAAUGGGUGAAUUGUAGACAAUAGCAACAUAGUUUACUGUGUAGCUACCAACUGAAGCAAUGUGCUAUACUUUCAUACAAAAACGACACCUUCCAACCCCCGCAACGUGGGGAACACCUUUCUAGUUAUUAUUAUUAUUAUUAUUAUUAUUAUUAUUAUUAUAGCACUAAAUUGUUUUACUAAUAUGGAUAGUCUUAUGUAACUAAUAUAAUAAACAUACAAAUUUAUUAAAUAAUUAGAAAAGAAAUUAACUAGAGUUCUUUAUGUAACUAAUAUAAUUAACAUACAAAUUUAUUAAAUAAUUAGAAAAGAAAUUAACUAGAGUUCUUUAUGUAACUAAUAUAAUAAAUAAACAAAUUAAUUAUAUAAUAAGAAAUGAAAUAGAGUGUAUCAUUAAAACUAGAAUUGCUGCAAAACAAUUUAGCUAUCGUCAAACCCAUUUAAUUAAGGAAUAAUAAUUUGAUAGGAUAAUUACUUAUGUAUUUUGUAUAUAUUUGGUCAUUUAACCAUUUUGUAUAUGUAUUUUUAACUAUUAAAAUUGUAAUUAUGUUUAAAACAUAUCAUUAUUAACUGCAAUAGUAGGUAAAACCUUUUUUUAGGGUUUGAGUUCCACAUCCGCUGAAAUUUUCGACGUUCUGAAUCUUGGGUGGCUUCUUCGGUCAUCUUAUCUUGCCAUAUCAGAUAUGGAAUCGUGUUUUUGAUUUAUUGGGUUUCUAAAAGGGAAUUUUUUUGAGCAUCUUCUUCUGAAAUAUGAUUUCAAGUAUGCCAUCCUUUACCAUAAAACCUCGACUUUUAAAGCUUGGGUUUGUGUGCGUUCAUGUUCAGCUUAGGAGGAAAUCAAAAUUUGAAGGAGGAAAGUGAAUUUAAACCGAGAUUCAGAUUUAAAAUCGAGAUCUGAUGAGAGAAUCGAUUUCAAGAACACAACUUCAAACGAUUUUAUCUUCGUUUGUGUUUCAACUAGGUUCAAUCUAUUUGCUUCCUAUGAUGUCAAGAACAUGGAAGAAGAUCGUUUAUCCAUCCAAAUUUGGUGUAAAUUGGGAAUGUUUGAAGUUCGUAGGUGAAAUCCUUUAAAGUCUUAUUAAUCUUAGAAAUUUCAUCGGAGAUGAUGCCGAAGAUGUUUCCGUACGUAAGGUGUAUAUGUCGCCAAAGUUGGAUCUCAAACAAUCAAAACAAUUUUUGUCUACGAUUUCAAAUAAUAAUCAUACGAUUUAAACAAAAUAUAAGUUUAAGGGUUAAU